rnacentral:lncRNA from 1 species
AAAAGGUAUUUAAGUAGUUGGGCAUGGUGGUGUGGUAGCGCACACCUGUGGUCCCAACUACUUGGGAGGCUGCACCAGGAGGAACGCUGGAGCCAGAGAGGUAGAGGCUGCAGUGAGCUAUGAUCACACUGCUGUGCUCCAGCCCGGGCAACAGAGCAAGACCUUGUCUCAAAAAAAAAAAAUUAAUUUUGAUGUUAAAUGAAAAAGUAAAACAAAUGCAGUGUGCGUGUAUACAUGUAGUAUAUAUGAAAAUGCAUGUACUCCCAGUUGCACAGCCACUGAACAAUUCGAAAAAAAUGCAAUUUUUUUUGUUCAGAAUAGUGGGAUUCUACUGCUUUUCAUUGUCUUUAAACUGUUUUAAGUGUUCUGUAUUGUUACAACGUUCUCGAGUAUUCCAAUGGCUGUUACUUUUAUAAUUAUAAAAGAAUAAGCAUUUUUAAAGAACAGAUAUAUCUUAUUUCAAAAACAAGGGUUUUUCGUUUACCAGAAUAGCUGCAAGAAAAGUUAUAUUAGUUUCUUUGGUGUUUUGAGGAAAGAAUUGAACAUUUUUGCCUUCAGUGGUGCCUUUUUCACCACUAGGACUUCCUUUUCUUCAGACAUUCCCCCUAAUCCAGCGGUCCCCCACCUUUUUGGCACCGUGGACGAGUUUCGUGGAAGACAGUUUUUUUCCACAGAUGGGGAAGGGGAGAUGGGGGAUGGUUUCGGGGUGAAACUGUUCCACCUCAGAUCAUCAGGCAUUAGUUAGCUUCUCAUGAGGUGUGUGCAGCCUAGAUCCCUCACAUGCACAGUUCACGAUAGGGUUUGUCCUCUGAUGAGAAUCUAAUGUCGCUGUUGAUCUGACAGCCACAUCUAACUUGGGAAGGUGGGAGAUGAGGUUCUCUUGCGGAGUGACUAUAGAUACAACUAAUACUUGGAUAUUUGGCAGUUCUAAUAAUAAAACAGGAAUGUUCUUUGGACAACUGUGACACAAUCUACUCCUCUGGCCCCUCAAAUAUCCAUGGAUACCCUUGUGACACAUAGAACACACCCUGUUUGAAGAGAGAAAACCCAGCAUUCUAAGCAGUUACUGCAUCCAGCUCAGCGUCCAUGAUCUAAAGAUGUAACAGUCCCUUACAAGUCUGAUAUAACUCCUCAUGGUCCAAUGACCUACAGAGUAAAUUAUGUUAUUUAUUCCCCUUUCUCUUCCCCACACAGCCAGUAUGCAGUGGUGAAGUAGGGCACGAAAACUAAUUUGGAAGAAGAGUGAGGACAAAAUAGUAGUUCUUUGUCUAAGCGAAUGUGAAGAGCAGAUUAGACUACAAAGGUGAUGCUGACGCUGCUGGUCCAGGCAGCAAACUUUGAGAUUUAUUGUUCUGGUGGAACCCACACCCAAUAUCCUGGCCCUCAAUAAACAUGCCUCUAGAGCCCCAGAAUCUGUGAUUGUUCUCAGCUGCCUUCACCCAUUCCGGAUUGCACACUGAAUCCAAAACUAAAACUUAGCUCAGUGUUGAAGCUAUCAUUGCUGAAUAUAAAGAAGUUUGGAACAUAACCAGAAACCAUGGGAAGAGCUAGGAAAUACAGGAUAUUCAACAGCACCUGAUAGAAUCUGUUGGACCCUCAAAAUCUAAAUUCUAGAACCUGAAUAAAAACUUCUCUUUGCGAUAGUCUAUGAUUUUCAGAAAUUACAACUAAAACCUUUAACAUUUUUUUUUGAAAUCUACAUCACAUUAA